rnacentral:rRNA from 1 species
AAAAACUCUGGUGGUAUACGAUGGAUCCGCGUCUGAUUAGCUGGUUGGCGGGGUAAAGGCCCACCAAGGCGACGAUCAGUAGCCGGCCUGAGAGGGUGAACGGCCACAUUGGGACUGAGACACGGCCCAAACUCCUACGGGAGGCAGCAGUGGGGAAUAUUGCACAAUGGGGGAAACCCUGAUGCAGCGACGCCGCGUGAGUGAAGAAGUAUUUCGGUACGUAAAGCUCUAUCAGCAGGGAAGAAAAUGACGGUACCUGACUAAGAAGCCCCGGCUAACUACGUGCCAGCAGCCGCGGUAAUACGUAGGGGGCAAGCGUUAUCCGGAUUUACUGGGUGUAAAGGGAGCGCAGACGGCAGCGCAAGUCUGGAGUGAAAUCCCAUGGCUUAACCAUGGAACUGCUUUGGAAACUGUGCAGCUAGAGUGCAGGAGAGGUAAGCGGAAUUCCUAGUGUAGCGGUGAAAUGCGUAGAUAUUAGGAGGAACACCAGUGGCGAAGGCGGCUUACUGGACUGUAACUGACGUUGAGGCUCGAAAGCGUGGGGAGCAAACAGGAUUAGAUACCCUGGUAGUCCACGCCGUAAACGAUGAUUACUAGGUGUUGG